CCAUCUUUUUAGGUGAGUUAUCGCUGCUUGUGUUCGGAUUCGUCGUACAAUCCAUUAACAUCUGACCUCUGCAUUUACCAUCAUCACCGCAAACUAACUGUAACCUUUUUCUCUUUGCCCGUAGAAACCUCUGCGCCAUGAGAGCCAAGUGGAGGAAGAAGCGAAUGCGCAGGCUGAAGCGCAAAAGAAGAAAGAUGAGGCAGAGAUCCAAGUAAACGGCUAGUUUGUGCACCCACGGAGGCCACAGGAGCAGAAAUGUGGAAUGCUGGAGGCCGGGGACGCUGGUACAAGUUGUUGGACUGCAUGCUACUGUCUAGAACUUCUCUCACAGUGGAUCUAGGAUUUCCAUCGCCAUCCGAGCACCGAGACCACCUCUGAGAGACCCACCUUGCUCAUUUUAAAACAGUCCCUCUUGGUCCGUUGCUCUGGACCUGUGACGUUCUGGACUAGUUCUGUUCUCAUUUGUGGCCGAGUGUAACGUGUACAAUAAAUCAUCUCUUCUGCUGUGUUAGCUGAAGAAUCAAAAA